AGCAGCCGCGGUAAUUCCAGCUCCAAUAGCGUAUAUUAAAGUUGCUGCAGUUAAAAAGCUCGUAGUUGAAUUUCGGGAUCAAUAUGUUGGUCGUGCCUUGGUACGUACUAGCUUAUUGAUUUCUCCUUUCUGACGAACCAUGAUGUCAUUAAUUUGGUGUCAUGGGGAAUCAGGACUGUUACUUUGAAAAAAUUAGAGUGUUUAAAGCAGGCUCGCGCUUGAAUACAUUAGCAUGGAAUAAUGAAAUAGGACAUUUGAUUCUAUUUUGUUGGUUUCUAGGAUCGACGUAAUGAUUAAUAGGGAUAGUUGGGGGCAUUAGUAUUCAAUUGUCAGAGGUGAAAUUCUUGGAUUUAUUGAAGACUAACUACUGCGAAAGCAUUUGCCAAGGAUGUUUUCAUUAAUCAAGAACGAAAGUUAGGGGAUCGAAGACGAUCAGAUACCGUCGUAGUCUUAACCAUAAACUAUGCCGACUAGGGAUCGGAUGAUGUUAAUUUUUUUAAUGGCUCAUUCGGCGCCUUAC
rnacentral:rRNA from 1 species